AUGGAUGGUCUGCAGAGUUUGGGUGAUGUGACUGCAGAGAUUUUUGGACUGCCACUAGAGGGACAUUCUGUAACAGGAAAGCAAGCCUUUGAGGACAGAAGAUGAAACCCAAGGGGCCCCCUUGAAGCCACUGGUGUUCCGAGUGGAUGAGAGCACCCCUGGGCUCGUACAGAGUGUCCUCCUGGAGCGUGGGUGGGACAAGUUUGAUGAGCAACGUCAGGAUGUGGAGGACUGGAAUCUAUACUGGAGGUCGUCCUCCUUCCGGAGGGCGGAAUAUGUCAAUGUCAAACCCUGGCAGAGGCUCAACCAUCACCCAGGGAUGACCAAUCUCACCAGGAAGGACUGCCUGGCCAAACACCUGGCGCGCAUGAGAAGUCGCUAUGGUGAGUCUCUCUAUGAGUUCACACCCCUGACAUUCAUCAUGCCCACUGACUAUACCAAGUUUCUGGCCAAGUACUUCAAGGAAAAGCAGGAUUUGGGUACCAAGCCAAGCUACUGGAUCUGCAAGCCAGCAGAGCUGUCUCAAGGGAGGGGGAUAAUCAUUUUCAGUGACAUCCGAGACCUCAUGUUCAAGGGCACGUAUGUAGUACAGAAGUACAUCUGUAACCCCUUACUCGUGGGUAGGUACAAAUGCGACCUCCGCAUCUAUGUCUGCAUCACUGGCUUUAAGCCUUUGACCAUUUACAUGUACCAGGAAGGGUUAGUGCGGUUUGCCACGGAGAAGUUUGAUCUCAGGAAUUUGGAAGACUAUUAUUCCCAUUUGACCAACAGCAGCAUCAACAAAUUGGGGGCCUCAUAUCAGAAGAUCAAAGAGGUGGUGGGUCAAGGCUGCAAGUGGACCCUCAGCAGGUUCUUCUCUUACCUCCGCAACUGGGAUGUGGAUGACCUGUUACUGAGGCAGAAGAUCAGCCACAUGGUGAUUCUCACAGUCCUGGCCAUGGCUCCCUCAGUCCCCGUCGCCUACAACUGCUUCGAGCUUUUUGGAUUUGACAUCCUUAUUGAUGACAACCUGAAACCGUGGCUUUUGGAAGUCAACUACAACCCUGCUUUGACCUUGGACUGUUCCACGGAUGAGUCGGUCAAGAGAAGCCUUGUCCAUGAUGUUAUUGAGCUAUUAUACUUAAACGGCCUCAGAAGUGAGGAGAAAAAGUGUGGGAGAACUUCUCCAGGAAACUCCGUGGUCUCCCUUGCCAGGAGCCAUCAGCAUGAGUUUUGUGCGACCCCCAAUUCCUCUUCCUAUGCGUCUCUCAUAGAGUUUACGAUGGGCAGUAAAAGCGACCCAGCUGUCCAGAACAUCUGUCCCAAGCACACUCGAACCUCCCAGUUGAGAGAAAUGAUGAGCAGGCGGGACAGACUUCUGACAAAAGAGGCAGCCAAAAGCAAGCCAAGGCACAAGGCUUGGCACUUGCCUCGCAAGAUGGUCUUCCCGUAUGCGUCUCAGUCACAGCCUCACAAGAUGAAGGGGCCUGCGGGCGACCUCCCGGAAGCUGGAAGCACACCAAACGACCACGCCGGCAACUUUGUCCUCAUCUUCCCGUUCAACAAGGCUACUUUCGGAGCCUCCAGGAAUGGGUUAAAUGUCAAAAGAAUCAUUCAAGAGCUCCAGAAGCUAAUGAAUAAAUAACUCUUUAAGUGAUAAAAGC
rnacentral:lncRNA from 1 species